rnacentral:rRNA from 1 species
GUCCUACGGGCGGCUGCAGUGGGGAAUCUUAGACAAUGGGCGCAAGCCUGAUCUAGCCAUGCCGCGUGAGCGAUGAAGGCCUUAGGGUUGUAAAGCUCUUUCGUGGGGGAAGAUAAUGACUGUACCCCAAGAAGAAGCCCCGGCUAACUCCGUGCCAGCAGCCGCGGUAAUACGGAGGGGGCUAGCGUUGUUCGGAAUUACUGGGCGUAAAGCGCACGUAGGCGGACUGGAAAGUCAGGGGUGAAAUCCCGGGGCUCAACCCCGGAACUGCCUUUGAAACUCCCAGUCUUGAGUUCGAGAGAGGUGAGUGGAAUUCCGAGUGUAGAGGUGAAAUUCGUAGAUAUUCGGAGGAACACCAGUGGCGAAGGCGGCUCACUGGCUCGAUACUGACGCUGAGGUGCGAAAGCGUGGGGAGCAAACAGGAUUAGAUACCCCGGUAGUC